rnacentral:rRNA from 1 species
UAACCGCUGAAAGCAUCUAAGCGGGAAACUUACCUCAAAACUAGGCCUCCCAGAGGGUCGUGGUAGACCACCACGUUGAUAGGCCGGGUGUGGAAGUGCAGUAAUGCACGCAGCUAACCGGUCCUAAUAACCCGAUAGAGUUCAACUAU